GAUGAACGCUAGCGAUAGGCUUAACACAUGCAAGUCGAGGGGCAGCACAAGGUAGCUUGCUAUCUGGGUGGCGACCGGCGCACGGGUGCGUAACGCGUAUGCAACUUGCCCUAUACAGGAGGAUAACCCGUCGAAAGACGGACUAAUACUGCGUAUGCUCACAACUUGGCAUCAAGUGGUGAGGAAAGAAAUUCGGUAUAGGAUAGGCAUGCGUCCCAUUAGCUUGUUGGUGAGGUAACGGCUCACCAAGGCAACGAUGGGUAGGGGAACUGAGAGGUUUAUCCCCCACACUGGUACUGAGACACGGACCAGACUCCUACGGGAGGCAGCAGUGAGGAAUAUUGGUCAAUGGGCGCGAGCCUGAAUCAGCCAAGUCGCGUGAAGGAUGACUGUCUUAUGGAUUGUAAACUUCUUUUAUACGGGAAUAACAAGAGUCACGUGUGACUCCCUGCAUGUACCGUAUGAAUAAGCAUCGGCUAACUCCGUG
rnacentral:rRNA from 1 species